UGGGGAAUUUUGGACAAUGGGGGAAACCCUGAUCCAGCCAUCCCGCGUGUGCGAUGAAGGCCUUCGGGUUGUAAAGCACUUUUGGCAGGAAAGAAACGUCAUGGGUUAAUACCCCGUGAAACUGACGGUACCUGCAGAAUAAGCACCGCCUAACUACGUGCCAGCAGCCGCGGUAAUACGUAGGGUGCAAGCGUUAAUCGGAAUUACUGGGCGUAAAGCGUGCGCAGGCGGUUCGGAAAGAAAGAUGUGAAAUCCCAGAGCUCAACUUUGGAACUGCAUUUUUAACUACCGGGCUAGAGUGUGUCAGAGGGAGGUGGAAUUCCGCGUGUAGCAGUGAAAUGCGUAGAUAUGCGGAGGAACACCGAUGGCGAAGGCAGCCUCCUGGGAUAACACUGACGCUCAUGCACGAAAGCGUGGGGAGCAAACAGG
rnacentral:rRNA from 1 species